rnacentral:rRNA from 1 species
GGGUUGUUGCUGGCCCCCAAACCGGGCACGUGCACGCCCUGUUUACGCAUCCACUCACACCUGUGCACCCUCUGUAGUUCUGUGGACCGGGAGACGUCGUCUUCCUUCCGUGGCUCUACGUCUUUACACACACGCCGUAGCGAAGUCUCAUGGAAUGUUUUUCGCGUUUAACGCAAUACAAUACAACUUUCAGCAACGGAUCUCUUGGCUCUCGCAUCGAUGAAGAACGCAGCGAAAUGCGAUAAGUAAUGUGAAUUGCAGAAUUCAGUGAAUCAUCGAAUCUUUGAACGCACCUUGCGCCCCUUGGUUAUUCCUCGGGGCAUGCCUGUUUGAGUAUCAUGAACACCUCAACUCUCGUGGUCUUCCAUGAUGAGCUUGGACUUUGGGGGUUUGCUGGCCCUGUGGCCGGCUCCUCUCAAACGAAUCAGCUUGCCAGUGUUUGGCGGCGUCACGGGUGUGAUAACCAUCUACGCUUGCGAUCGCCUGCCAGAUAACCCUCAGCGAUGAAGGUUCAUUGGGGCUCACAAAAGUCUCUCCACGGCGAGGACAAAUUUUGAAUGUUCGAUCUCAAAUCAGGUAGGACUACCCGCUGAACUUAAGCAUAUCAAUAAGCGGAGGAAAA